AACGUAGGACGCAAGCGUUAUCCGGAGUUACUGGGCGUAAAGCGCGGGCAGGCGGCCAACCAAGUCUGAUGUGAAAUCUCUUCGCUCAACGGAGAGAGGCCAUUGGAAACUGGUCGGCUGGAGGGCAGUAGAGGUAGGCGGAAUUCCGGGUGGAGUGGUGAAAUGCGUAGAGAUCCGGAGGAACACCAGAGGCGAAGGCGGGUCUCUGGGCCGAUACUGACGCUGAGGAGCGAAAGCGUGGGGAGCGAACAGG
rnacentral:rRNA from 1 species